rnacentral:misc_RNA from 1 species
GGCAGUUUUCCAUGGCGCAACAGAACUUUAUUCCUGGCCCUGUGGGUGAUGGAAUGCCCAACAACAUGUGGAAUCCACAGAUGAAGGGACAAGUGUCAGAAGCAUCUGAUAAAGUGAUGUGGAAUUCUUGGAGUUCGCAGACUAGCAUGUAGUGGUUGAUUUUAUCCUGUGAGGAUGUGGUUCUUAUUUCCAGAGAGUUGUUGAUUGUCAUGAUUCUGACCUUGAUGACACAUGUAUUAUGUUUAUUCUUUAUGUAGCAUGUGAACAUGAAAUUGUCUUAUAAUGAAUGUAGAAUGAAAAAAGAAAGCUUGCAUC